CUGUGCUAGCUCCUCCUCUGAUGGUCCUUUUCCUUCUUCUAGUCCCAGUCCCCUCUAUCUCUCUAAGUCAGUGGGGUUAUCUUUUUGUUUCUGUCUAAGGAUAAGAAAAGAAGGCUCUUUUAUAAAAAGUUAAGGCUAGAGGGCAAGCUUUAGGUGGAGCACACCACAAUGGCACAUCAAGACAACUUAGGGCAUUCCCAUGUCCCUGUGGAGGAGAAUGAUGCAGCAGGAAACCAGGGCCGACAGGGUGCUAGACCACGGCAAACUAGAUUUCGGAGAAGAAAAUGCAAGCAGCUGCAUUCAGCACGGCCAGAGGGAGAAGAAACUAGGGUUUUGCAAGUUUACAAAUUUAUGAGUCGUCCCCCAGCUAUCAGUGUGCACUCCACUGGUGAAGAAGCUCUGGGGCUGUCUAGUAUUCCUGUGCCGAGAAACUGUGGAACAACUGUGAAAACACUGGCUAGGUCUGCCAGCCCUUGGAUUCGUCUUGAACCUGUACCGUGUUGGGUCAAAGACUGUACUGGACUGGCCUGCUCAGCAGAUCAUGGUCCUAGAAGACAUCUGAUAAAAGCCAAUCUCCAAGCUGAGGAAGAUAGCCUGAGAUCCAUGUUAAGAGAGGAACUUUUAUCAAGGGAUGAAGACCAUGAUGAUUUGGGGACAGCCAGCUCCCAGGCAGGUGUUGUCAGCAGUGAUGCUCCCAGGAGCUUGGCAGAAGAGUUUUCACUAGUUCCCUUAAACAUGCGAAGGAAAUGCUCUGCUUUGAAUUUUGACUUGCUAGUAGAAAGAUGUCUUAAAAGGCUCUGAGUUUCAGCACAUCUGUUUAGAAUUUAAGAUACAGAUUUUUUUUGAGAUAUGAAUGCCGAUCUUCAUGUACACAGUUUAUAGAAAUGCAGGCUGAAGUCUGCAUUAAAGCCAUGAAGGUUCAAAUGGGGUGAAGCCCAGCACAUCUUUCUUAGAUUGACAGGCAGUAAGGAAAGACAAAACUGGAGUGAAAAUAAAUCCUUCAUAUGAGUUGCCUUCUUUGGGAGU
rnacentral:lncRNA from 1 species